GUAGAUCAAUAUUUUAUAAAUCGAUGGUUUCGAUAGAAUUUAAAUACAACUUCCUCGAGAGAUGACGCGGGAGGACAAGACGAGAAGGCAACACCUGGCGAGAGCAAUCAGAGGAGCAGUUCAACAGUACCUCUAUGAAAACGUACCACAGCCAAUUGGUACGAUGACGAGAAAUAACAGAUCGGAUGGAAAGUUGAAGGUCAAAGGUGCUGGUAUGGCGGAGGAGAGAAUUCAGCGAAUAUAAUUUUAUCACCGGAGACGAUUCAAGGUCAACUCGGGUGGCACAUCGAGACAAAUAUUAUUGUACAUCUGCGAAUCUGCUAAUAUGAACCAACACAAUGCAGAGCAUCGGGAAAAACAACAACAACAACAAUGACAACAAAACAACAACAACAACCACAACAACAACAAUUCAUACAGACAUAUGAUGAGAGGAGGACGUCUUCAAAGUUUUCCAAAUUAACCGAUAUAAUGUAAUGUUCACCAACCGCAUUACAUUCACCAUUGAAAAAGCACUUACUCCGUGCUUUAUACAACAACAAUUAACAGUAACCAUAAUCAGGAAUACAACAUUUCGACAUCAUCGAAAGCUUUGGAAUUUAAGUCAACUAAUUACAAACUCUUUAAAGAGUGUGCAACAGUUCCACAAUUUGCACCAGGUCAAAGACAACAAUAUUCGCAUCACUAUUGAGAUUGAUCCAAUACCAACAAAAUUCAGAAGGAGGGCGAUAAUUAAUCAACCACAACACCGUAAACGACAAUGAUAAACAAUCCAGUUCGGAAGGCAACUUGAGACACUUUUUCGAGAAACAACAGAAAACAACAGUAAAACUAUUUUUUUUUUGUAUACAAACGAUAACGCGGGAAUUACAAGCAUGGAAUACGAUUCGAUCGAGAUAAUAUCCGCACACCAAAAUUUCAUGGCUAUGACAGGAGACAACAUCAACUAAAGCAACUACAUCAUCUCCAAGACAAACCAGAGAGCAACGAUACCACUCAUCUGAGACGUUAGACUAACCAAGCGAUCUGGACAUUUAACAAGAAAAGGUAAAUAUCAAUGGCAGCCGAACUCCUACGACGAACCAAGAGGAGCAGCAGCGAGUACCAAUGAAGUCAAUCUCUUGAGGAAGAAUGUAAGUUAAUGCGGUAAAUUUACAAUUCUUUUGGAAGUUGAAAAACUGUAAUGUAAAACAUUUUGAGACACUUACAGGGAAGAUGAAGAUUAGUAUAGCAAUUUCAGAUUAUAUAUUAACAAUCAUCGCUAGCAUCAUCAUUUAAAUGCUGAGUUUUUUUUUCGGGGGAUACAUUUUACCCACAUACUAACAUUUGAACGUGAAAUUUUAUACACGUUCAAACUCCGCUAAGUGGGAGGGCAUGCAUAGACCUAAAUAUUCCCACGCACUCCGAUAUUCAAAGUCAAUUCAACUGAAACAAAAAUGCAUUUUCACCCCACAUUCCCAACAGCUGCCCGGGGGAUUUUAGAUUCAAUUUUCAUCGUAGGGUCUACCUACCUCACGCGCGGCAUUUUGGAAGCAACGAAAAUCGCGCCAUUCGUUAUUGACCUAGUUUUUAUAACCCAUCAUCGUCCGGUGGUGGCCGGGUGCGAUCGUGUUGCAACGCGUUAGGUCCGGUCGGUGUGAUGCAAUUUCAAUUACGCUUGGGACAACGAUGGGUAAUAAACCCGAAAGAAUGAUAUGGAACCGCGACAUCAUAUUGAUCGCGCUGGAACAAAGAUUGUUUAUUUUUGUUUCGAAAUCAAGGCGCCGAAUUGGCCGGGUAAGGUUCACUGUGCCCAAGUAAGGUACACUUCAAUAACAAAGCGGGUGCUUUGUUUUGGAGAAUUUGGUGCCAAAUUCCAAAGACGAUGAGGAUGAUGAUGGUGACGAUGAUGAUGAUGGGGAGAAUGAUAAUGACGUCGAUGGUGGGGUUCAAUUCUUUCACACACCCAAGCCUUGUAUAUGCUCAAGUGAGGCGGGGCUAGAAGAUGUAGGCCUUGGUGUAAAGAUUCUCAGUAGGUUUUGUGCGAACACGCCCAAGUCAGGCGUGGUUAGGAGAUUUAAGUUUUUCGUUGGCAUUAAUAUUCUUGGUAGGGCUUGGGAUACGCCCAAGAUAGAAGAGUCGUGAUGUUUUCAAGAAGAGAAGGAUUUUAAUCACGAUGAGGACAAGUAGGAUAGGUAGAGGUCUAGGUUUUGGACUUAUUAGUAUUUUCAUUUGGUAGGGUUUUGGAUACGCCCAAGUUGGUUCGGGCAUUGUUAGGAAUUAUCAUGACAUCUUCGGCAAGACGAGAAUGAUCGUAGGAAUUUUAGACACGCCCAAGCUGGUUCGGGUCUUGCUUGGAAAUUUAGGCUAUAAAUACGGAGGCUUUGGCUUCAGUCGGGGCCAGUAGUCGGAGAGUUCGGUGACAACGUUAACGCAGGCAGCACAUCGGAUAAGUCUUGAGCUCCCAUGUGGGACACCUCUAGAUACUGUCCAAAUAAAGGCUGUAGGUAGGACGUAGUAGUCGGGUCAAGAAGAAGCUGGAAGUGUCUCUAGUAGUUCGGUGAAGAAAUACUGAAAAUGUUAGGGUAAUAUAAGAACAAGUGAAUCGUUGUAAUAUAAGUGAUGGUUUGUGAUACUUCAAUAUAGUUUAUUAAAACUGU